CUCGGCGUCCCCUGAGCCAGCCCGCGAGCGGCCGCGCUCCCGACUCUCCUUCCUUCCGCGCAGCCUCCAGUUCCCCGGGGCUGGAGCCGGCUGUCGGCUGGUUGCCGGCUCCGAGGGCGAUGAGAGUGGCAGGUGUGCCCUGCUGCACAGGUGGCCUCCGAACCCGGGAAAAGAGGAACUAAGGCGGAGGAACUGAGACGUUUCGAAUUCCAGAUGGAGUCUGGCUCUGCCGCCCAGGCUGAAGUGUGGUGCAAUCCCAGCUCACUGCAAUCUCCGCCUCCCGGGUUCAAAUGGUUCUCCUGCCUCAGCUUCCCAAGUAGCUGGGAUUACAGGUGCCCACCACCAUGCCCAGCUAAUUUUUGUAUUUUUAGAAGAUACAGGGUUUCACCAUGUUGGUCAGGCUAGUUUUGAACUCCUGACCUCAUGUAAUCCGCCCCUCCUCAUCCUCCCAAAGUGCUGGGAUUACAGGCAUGAGUCACGGCACCCGACCAAUAUAUACAUAUCUGGUUUUCUGUUAGAGUUUUAUAGAUGCUUUAACAAAUUACCACAAACUUAAAGACUUAAAACUCAAACUUAUUAAAGUUCAAGAGGUCAGAAGUCUGAAAUGAGCCUUACUGGGCUAAAACCAAGGUGUCUGAAGGGCUGCAUUCCUUCUGGAGGCUCUAGAACGGAAUCCAUUUCCAUGCUCUCUCUAGCUUCAAGAUACUCCCCACAUUUCCAGGCUGUAGCCUCCUUGCUUCAUCUUAUAAGCCAGCAACAGUGGGUGAAGUUCUUUUCUCAGUACAUCAGUCUUUCUCAGGGACAGAUCCUACUUCUGUUACCAUGUCUUUCUCUGACUCUUGACUCCUGCCUUCCUAUUCCAAUUCUAAGGACCCUGUGAUUACAUUAGUCCCACCUGGAUAGUCCAGGAUGCUCUAUUUUUGUUUGCUUUUAUUUUUAAUUUUUAUUAUUAUUUUUAAACAGAGUCUCACUCCGUCACCCAGGUUGGAAUGCAAUGGUGCAAUCUUGGCUCACUGCAACCUCUGCCUCCCAGGUUCCAGCGAUUCUCCUGCCUCAGCCUCCUGAGUAGCUGGGAUUACAGGCAUGCACUGCCACACCUGGAUAAUUUUUGUAUUUUUAGUAGAGAUGGGGUUUAGCCAUGUUGGCCAGGUCGGUGUCAAACUCCUGACCUCAAGUGACCCACAUAACAGCAGAGGUACUGCUCUUUGCAGAGAAGGGCUACCCCGUAGGCAAUGCGCCCAGAGUAGCCGUGGAUAAUCUAUUUUAAGGUCAGAUGAUUAGCAAUCUUAAUGCCAUCUGUAGCCUUCAUUCUCCUUUCUCCCUUUGCUAAUUCACAUAUUCACAGGUUUCACAGAUAAGCACACGUACAUAUUGUGUUGUGGGGGUAUUAUUCUGCCCCCAGGUCUUAUAGCCAAAGCCUCCAAUAGAGUGUUGAUUAGGAACUUCUGGUAUUUAUUAGUCGUCUUCUGGACAUUCACGAAAAUAAUUUUACAAAUUUAUCAUUCUUAAGGUAUUUGUCAUAGAUACCUUUUGGUAGUUAUAUAUUAUUAUAUAAGUUUUCUACUUCUUUUUUUUUUUUUUUUUAGUAGAGACAGGUUUUCCCCAUGUUGCCCAGGCUGGUCUGGAACUCUUGGCCUCAAGUGAUCCGCCCACCUCAGCCUCCCAAAGUGUGGGAUUACAGGCAUGAGUCACCACACCUGGCCAGAAAGUUUUCUUCUAUUUUUUGUUGUUGAGACAGUGUCUCACUCUGUCUUCCAGGCUGGAGUGCAAUGGCAUGAGCACAGCCCACUGAAGCCUCAACCUCCCGGGUCAAGCAAUCCUCCCACCUCAGCCUUCCUAGUAGCUGGGACUGUAGGUGUGCACCACCACGCCUGGCUAAUCUUUGUAUUUUUUGUAGAGAUGGGGUUUUGCCAUAGGCUGUUUUCUUCUAUUCUAUGGUUCUCAUAAUACUACUUUGUAACAAGCCAUUCUAAGAUUUAAAGUGAUGCAAAAACAAUGAUUUAUUAUUGUUUCUCUUGUCUCUGUAGGGCUUGGUUGGUGGUUCUGGGCUUGCUUGGGUGGUUCUCACUUGGGGCUUGACCAGGCUGGACAUCCAAUAUGGCUUCUCCACUCAUGUGUCUGGUGCUUCCGUGCUCCUCCAUAUGGCCUCUCUCUCCCACAGAGUAACUUGUAGCAUUUAUUGAGAUAAUCACAUUUUUCUUCAUUAAUCUGUUAAUGUUGACGGAAUUUAACGCACUGGUUGUUUACUAGGGUGUGCCCUUUGUUGAAAAGAAUAGGAGGGAGUGGAGAGGGAAGAUGAAGACAUCAUGCUGUGAUGGGGGCCCAAUAGCCCUGACUCCAUGGGGAGCUAUGGAGCUAGGUUGCUCCUACAGUGGGCUAGGUGUCUAUGCAUUCGCCCAGUCAUGGGAUGUGGGUUGUCCUUGGAAGGGUCAACCUUGGGUGAAACUGAAAUGAUUCUCUAAAGGGACUGAAAGCUGGAUGAACGUUGUACACUGACAGCACUCUCAGCAGUUGAGGCAACAAGCCUUUCCUUGAAAGAAGAUCUGGGCUAUGCCUCUCCAUGUCUGCCAUAAGGUUCAUAGUAUUAUUAUUAUUAAGUCAAUAAAUUUUCAUUCAAGAAA